UUGUAUCUGGAGCCAGCGAGGAUGAGAACCUCCGGGGGCGGGCGAGCGAAGCGAGAGAACGUUGCGCGAGCAACGGCCCGCAGGGCGAGCCAUCCUCUCAUUGCUGACA
rnacentral:sRNA from 1 species